rnacentral:rRNA from 1 species
AGAGUUUGAUCCUGGCUCAGAACGAACGCUGGCGGCGCGCCUAAUACAUGCAAGUCGAGCGAGAAGGUGUAGCAAUACACUUGUAAAGCGGCGAACGGGUGAGGAAUGCAUGGGUAAUCUACCAUCGAGUGGGGAAUAACCAACCGAAAGGUUGGCUAAUACCGCGUACGCUUCCGAAUCUUCGGGUUUGGAAGGAAAGCCGUGCUGUGAGUACGGCGCUCUUUGAUGAGCUCAUGUCCUAUCAGCUUGUUGGUAGGGUAACGGCCUACCAAGGCUUUGACGGGUAGCUGGUCUGAGAGGACGAUCAGCCACACUGGCACUGCGACACGGGCCAGACUCCUACGGGAGGCAGCAGUAAGGAAUAUUGCGCAAUGGGCGAAAGCCUGACGCAGCGACGCCGCGUGGGGGAUGAAGGUCUUCGGAUUGUAAACCCCUUUCGGGAGGGAAGAUGGAGCGAGCAAUCGUUCGGACGGUACCUCCAGAAGCAGCCACGGCCAACUUCGUGCCAGCAGCCGCGGUAAUACGAAGGUGGCAAGCGUUGUUCGGAUUCACUGGGCGUACAGGGUGUGUAGGCGGUUUGGUAAGCCUUCUGUUAAAGCUUCGGGCCCAACCCGGAAAGCGCAGAGGGUACUGCCAGGCUAGAGGGUGGGAGAGGAGCGCGGAAUUCCCGGUGUAGCGGUGAAAUGCGUAGAGAUCGGGAGGAAGGCC